ensembl:lincRNA
GAGCGACUGAACUGAACUGAACUGAUAUGUACUGUGUAUGCAUAUUUCCUUUUUUUUUUCUAACUAGAGAAAUUUGUUGGUAAGAACUUUUAAUCUGAUUCUAAAGUCUGAAUCUUAGCUCCCCGUUUGGGUGACAUCAAAACUCAAGUCUUGUUCCUGUUUUCAUUAAGAACUCCAUUCAUUUAUAUUUAGGUAGCCGGCAUACGAUAAGCACAGGGCUGAUACAAAAAGAAAAAGUAUAUAAUGGAGACAAAUACACAGACCAAUCAUUAUUGUUUUAUAAACAAAGGAAUUGCUAUUUGGGAGAUUAAGAAAUGUGCCCAAGGUAACCCAGCAAGAAUCAAGGGUCAAAUCUCAAUCUAAAUGUCUUCCAACUAUUCCCAGAGCUGAAACACACCAAGAGCUGUAAAGGAAAUGUGAUGGUUAAUUUUAUGUGUCAACUUGGCUAAGCUGUGGUACACAGUUGCUUGAUCAGACACUAGUUUAGAUACUGUGGUGAUAAUAUUUUGUAGAUGUAAUUAAUAUUCAUAUGCAGUUACCAUUAAGUAAAGAAGAUUAUCCUUAAUAGUGUGGGUGGGGCUCAUCCAAUCAGUUGAAGAUCUUAAGAGCAAAAUUAGGUUUUCAAAGAAGGAAUUUUGCCUCAACACUGUAACACAGAAAUCCUGUCAGCCUGCCCUUCAGAUUUCAGACUUAAGAUUGCAACAUCGACUCUGCCUGUGUUUCCGGCUUGCUGACCUGCACUACAGACUUUGGACUUGGCAGCCCCCACAACUGCAUGAGCCAACUGUUUAAAAUGUUUCUCUCUAUGUAUGCAUCCUACUGGCUUUUGUUUCUCUGGAGAACCCUCACGGAUACAAGAAGCCAUAGCUAAGUACAGAGCAACUAAUCCUGGGAAAGUACCUCUUAUUCCACAAAGGAACAAGAAAGAAGGAGUUUCCAUUUCUACAGUCAGUGAAAGAAGGGUGUUCAGAAGUGGCCCACAGGAGAUGACUCUUCAGGCUCCUUUCAAUGAAUCUGCAGUAACCUGCCAAACAUGAACUCUUCAUUUCUGCCAUGAACCCUGAGGAAAAAGCAUGGCAUGGCAACAAACCAGAUGAUCAUACUGAAAGCUGUGGCACGGAUAUUCAGCAUGAGUACUGCACAAAGGAACAGGCUGAGUAACACUUCGAACUUUAAAAGGCUAACAGUUCCAAACUUAUGGUUGCUGGGGUAAAGGACAGUUGGGGAGUUUGGGGUGGACAUGUACACAUUUUAAAUACACUGCCGUAUUUAAAAUGGAUAAUGAACAAGGACCUACUGUAUAGCACAGGGAACUCUGCUCAGUGUAUGUGGCAGCCUGGAUGGGAGGGGCGUUUCAGGGAGAAUGGACACAUGUAUAUGUACGGCUGAGUCCCUCUGCUGCUCACCCAAAACUAUCACAACAUUGUUAAUCAGUUAUACUCCAAUACAAACUAAAAAGUUUAAAAAUAAAUCAAUUAAAAAAUACAAGAUUAACAGUUCCAACCUCUGAUUAUUCAGACAGUUUAUUCCUGAUCACAGUAUGGAUAAGAGACUACACUUCAGUCACGCUGCAAAUUCUCUUUUGUAGGCAAAGCAGCUUUUGAGGUUAUCCUUGAAUCAGUCUGCCAUGAUAUCCUAAUAUUCCAAAAGUGGUGACAUUUGUAAGAGUGAGCAUAAUGCAGCAGAAAAAGCAUGAGCUUCGCAGACAUGUAAUCCUGGGCUAGAGGACCAGCUUGGUCCUCUACUGGCCUGUAACCCACAGCAAGUUACACUCAGGGCCGGAACACAGUAAGAAAUCAUGGUUGUCUGCCCUUCUCUUUCUUGGCAAAUAACCCAUCGUACUUCUUAGAUAUUCCACAGUGCUUUUAUGAUACUUCAGCACCUCUCAUGCUUUUUAUUAUUCCCUUUAAUUAAAGUAAGGGCCUUGCCACCAGCUCCUCAAACCAAGGGACCCUGCCACCAGCUCCAUGUAACUAUGUCUGCAGGGGAGCCCAGGAGGGAGGUGAGGCAGUGAUGCUGACAGGUCUCCAGCCUCUCACUUCAUGUGCUGGUGUGCCCCCGUCAGGACCCUCACCACAUCAGGGAGAACAGCACUCUGUGACUCCCUAGGAACACUGCCGGUGGGUUCAUCAGUCAUUUGAGAAUGCUGAUGCACUUCAAAGUAUCAGGUGGUGUUCAGAAGAUAUACUGACAUGUCCAGAUACUACAAAGACCAGAAAAAAUCAACUAAAUAAAUCUUCAGAUGAAUCUAAUGUAAAGUAAUGAACAUUACUUUUACUAUACUUUUAAAAAUUCUGUCUUAUGUCUCAAGGACAUCUAUUUACAUGUUUGGGGUUAUGUUCUAUCCGUAUAAACUAUUCUGUAUCGUGUCAGUCAACCACAGCGUAGGAGUCUAGUAAUUAAUUAAUCUUUGAAGAAGUGCAUCUUGACCAGAGACUGUGAGAAUGUCAACAAAUAAUGAGGAAAUAAAGCGAGUGGGUCAAGGUUCUGAUAACUGAAGCCAAGAAGCAGCCUGGGAAAUUAUUGAGCAGUAAGCUCCCAGGAAACCUGCACUGAGAAAAGCAGCAAACCAUCAUAAGAAUAACACCUGGGAUAAUUACAUGUAUAGUCCAAACAGUAGCACAGGACCCUAAACCUGACUCUAAGGGGAAAGAGAAAGCGAAAGUCACUCAGUCGUGUCCAACUCUUCGCGACCCCAUGGACUAUACAGUCCAUGGAAUUCUCCAGGCCAGAAUACUGGAGUGGGUAGCUGUUCCCUUCUCCAGGGGAUCUUCCCAACCCAGGGAUCAAACCCAGGUCUCCCGCAUUGCAGGCAGAUUAUUUACCAGCUGAGGCACCAGAGAAGCCCUGACCCAGAGGUAAAUGAGAACAACUAAACAGGAGAGGGUGCUUUUUUCCAUCUCAAUGAGAGAGACAAGGGAGGACGAAAUGGCAGAGAAAAAGCAUGAAAGCAACAGGGUGGAAAAUACCUGGUGACACUAGGUAUGGUAUUAAGAUUAUUGAAUUACAGUCCAUUAGAAAUAGACUACUGAAACAACAAAAACAGGCAGUGGAUUUAGGAAAGAUCAGAACAUGAGAGUUUUAUUUUUGUUUUACAGUGGGAUAAAACUAAAAAGUUCAAUACAGUAAAAAAAAAAAAAAAAGACCUGCUGACUUUACUGAUUUCAAGAAAGUCUUCCAUAUGAUCUUACAAAGACAGGAUGUCAAUCAAAAUCAAUGGGUCAUUCAAACCCAGUGUGUAUAACAUUCCAGAAGUAUUUGAGGAAUUCUGAGGAACACAAGAGAGUUCUAAAAACCUGAGACCCACAUGGGGAUAAAAUAAGAAUGCAUCCUGAGCAAAUUUUAUAUAUUUCUGUUAUUCUCUUUUACUUACUUUUAUCAUUCUUCUGAAAAAUUCACUCAAGAGAACAGAAGAAGGGCUCACACACACACACAAAAAGACUAUAUACAGUCUUACUUUUGGAGAGUGACAGCUGUUGCAAGACAAGGAGAGAAACUUGCAAUAUAAUCUCAGAUUGUAAAACUGGGAACUCCCCAGUCAUAGGGGCAACAAGACUGACAAGUGCAUGAGCGCAGUGAUCCCCAGGGAAUAAAAUCACCCAGACAUGUAGGAGAAAUCCCGGCCAGACAUUGAGCACUUAAGAGCUGCUGAACUCAUGAUGACGCCAACCAGAUGAAGAGCUAAUCUUAUCAUCUUAGUUGUCAUUUGACUCUUGUUCUAUGAAAAUGUAAUUCUAAUAACACCAAAAUAAGUACAUUCUUUAACUUCUCGAAUUUAAGAAGGCAAGGCCGUCCCUGAAAAUGCCUGUGAACCCUGUGCUGCUGCUGCUGCUGCUAAGUCGCUUCAGUCAUGACCAACUCUGUGCAACCCCAUAGAUGGUAGCCCACCAGGCUUUGCCAUCCCUGGGAUAACAGACCAUAAAACUCCUUUACUAAAAGAAAUGUUGAGAGUGAAUAAUUCACGUACUCUUCUGGAGGUGAUGUUCUAGGAAGGCUGUAAAUGGACUGAUUUCUGCUCAAACACAGGGGAAAGGGGAAUCUUAUUCACUGUAGUCUUAGUGUCUUGUAUCUGGCAUGACGCCGAGCACUUAAAAGGAGUCCAACAGGACUUGCCUGGUGGCGCAGUGAAUAAGAAUCCACUGAGAAUGCAGGGAACACGGGAAGACCCCACAUGCCGCAGAGCAGUUAAGUCUGCGCCACAACACUGAGCUCAUGCACUCUAGGGUUUGUGCUCUGCAACAAGGAAAGCCACCGCAAUGAGAAGCCUGUGCACCGCAACUAGAGUAGCCCCCACUUGCCCCAACUAGAGAAAGUCCAUGUGCAGCAGCGAAGACCCAGCACAGCCAAAAAUGAAUAAAUAAAAUAAUAAAAAAAAUUUUUUAAGAAUAAAAUGAAUUUUAAAAAAAGGAGUCCAACAAAUCUUUGUUAACUAGGGGAAGAGAUCACAGUUAGCAUCUUCUGAGCAGUGACCCUACACCAGCAAUGUGCAUAUGGAGAUUCAUCUAGUCCACACAAGAGCCCUAGAAGGCAAAUGCCACUCUCACUCCCAUUUGACACCUGAGGAAACUGAAGAAGAGAGAAGCUAAAGUAACCUGGACGAGGGAGGUCAGACUGGCUCCACAGCCUCCGUGACGGCUCCUCCAUUCACUGCAGUCCUCUCCACGUGAGAGCGGAUGGCUGGGGGGAGCAAAGUGGCCAAGCAAGGGCCAGGCUCUAAGCUCUAUGGGAAUGAUGGAUGAAGAGAGGACAAAUGAAGAGAUGAGAGGACAAAUUAGGCGUUGCAGAAGACUGAGUUCAAACUAAAAGGCUGUCUGUGAGGUCCGGUGAGGCAAAGUGCCAGGAGUAGAGAUGCUCAGCUGUGACGGUGGACUCUAAGAACUUCCCAGCACUUGGCAUGAUCAGUGACCUCAAGGAAGAAAAGCUAUGACAAACCUAGACAGCAUAUUAAAAGGCAGAGACAUCACUUUACUGACAAAUGUCUGUAUAGGCAAAGCUAUGGUUUUUCCAAUGGUUAGGUACAGAUGUAAGAGCUGGACCAUAUAGCAGGUUGAGUGCUGAAGAACUGAUGCUUUUGAACUAUGAUAUUGGAGAAGACUCUUGAGAGUCCCCUGGAGAGCAAGGAGAUCAAACCAGUCAAUCCUAAAGGAAAUCAACCCUGAAUAUUCAUUGGAAGGACUGAUGCUAAAACUCAAGCUCCAAGACUUUGGCCAGCUGAUGAGAAGAGCCAACUCAUCGGAAAAGACCCUAAUGCUGGGAAACUGAGGGCAGGAGAAGGGGAUGACAGAGGAUGAAAUGGUUGGAUGGCAUCACCAACUCAAUGGACAGGAGUUUGAGCAAACUCCAGGAGAUGGUGAAGGACAGGGAAGCCUGGUAUGCUGCAGUCCAUGAGGUUGCAAAGAGUCAGACACGACUUAGUGACUGAACGACAGAUGGGAAAUCUCAAAAGGGAACUAUUAAAACAAAAAUGGAAAUUGCAAAACUGAAAAAUAAGAUUUUCAUAUUCACUUAGAUAGGCAAAAUAACAGAAAGGACAUGAUAGAGUCAAGAUUACUUAACAGAAAUUAUAGUCUGUAUAAUUAAUCAACAGAAAUUAUACAAACAGAGGGAAAAUGAUUGGAAAAAAUGAACAGAGCCUUAGGAAUCUGUGAG